rnacentral:rRNA from 1 species
UACAGAGGGUACGAGCGUUGUCCGGAAUCACUGGGCGUAAAGGGCGCGUAGGCGGCUUCUUAAGCGUGUGGUGAAAGCGCGGGGCUCAACCCCGCGUCGGCCGUGCGAACAGGGGAGCUGGAGCACGUCAGAGGCAGGCGGAAUUCCGGGAGUAGCGGUGGAAUGCGUAGAGAUCCGGAAGAACACCGGUGGCGAAGGCGGCCUGCUGGGACGUGGCUGACGCUGAGGCGCGACAGCGUGGGGAGCAAACAGG